UCGCUUUGGCAGCACAUAUACUAAAAUUGGAACGAUGCAGAGAAGAUUAGCAU
rnacentral:snRNA from 11 species